CACGUAGGGGGCGAGCGUUGUCCGGAUUUAUUGGGCGUAAAGGGCGCGUAGGCGGCCUGCUAAGUCGAACGUGAAAUCCCUGGGCUCAACCCAGGAACUGCGUCCGAUACUGGUUGGCUUGAAUCCGGGAGAGGGAUGCGGAAUUCCAGGUGUAGCGGUGAAAUGCGUAGAUAUCAGGAAGAACACCCGUGGCUAAGGCGGUUCUCUAGUACGGUACUGACGCUGAGACGCGAAAGCGUGGGGAGCGAACAGG
rnacentral:rRNA from 1 species